UGGCACAGUGAACUCCCAUGGUGCUUUACGCUUGCCUUGGCUUUGACUCUGUGCUGGAGCAAUGUCUGAUCUUUCCUCUUCAUUAAAAAGAAUUUAUCCUUCUAAAUGUAUUCAAAGAGCUGGAACCUUU
rnacentral:snoRNA from 13 species